AGGAAACUCGUGACAAACCUGGAAGCAAAAGGUAGAGAACAUUUGAAUUAAAGUAGCAUGUCGAUAAACUUUUCAUGAAAUUUGUUAGACUUGUAAGAGAGGAGUUGGAAUAAAGAUAAGAUGAACAGCUAUUGUCCUCAUAGAAUAUCAUAAUUGAAUGUCUUAAAAAGACCUUUUGAGCUUCUUGUUGGGGGAAAUAUUAACGACCUCCCAAUGACCCCUAAGACAACAAU
rnacentral:lncRNA from 1 species